UACGUAGGGGGCUAGCGUUGUCCGGAAUCAUUGGGCGUAAAGAGCGUGUAGGCGGCCCGGUAAGUCCGCUGUAAAAGUCAAAGGCUCAACCUCUGCAUGUCAGUGGAUACUGCCGGGCUAGAGUCCGGAAGAGGCGAGUGGAACUCCUGGUGUAGCGGUGGAAUGCGCAGAUAUCAGGAAGAACACCAACGGCGAAGGCAGCUCGCUGGGACGGUACUGACGCUGAGACGCGAAAGCGUGGGGAGCGAACAGG
rnacentral:rRNA from 1 species